rnacentral:rRNA from 1 species
UUGAGGAGAUGAAUAGCUUCGGCUAAUUAUACUUGGCUGUUUAAUUUAUUAUUUUUAAUUAUGUAAUAAGUUAUUCAUUUUAACCUUAUGGUUAUUAAGUUAACCGGGGUUAAUUAAUUUGUCUAUUCUGAGUGAUUAGGGGAAUGAGAUAUAAAGGUUUAUUUUAUUUCCACGGACAGGUGUAAGAUCGAUUUUAUCGAAUAAAAUUCUAGAUAGGAUACUGAUUAUGACAAUUUUCUAUCUAUAUGUCUUGACCAAAAUACGUGCCAGCAGUCGCGGCAAUACGUAGAAGACUAGUGUUAUUCAUCUUUAUUAGGUUUAAAGGGUACCUAGACGGUAUAAUUAGUCUUUAAUAGGAAACGAUUAUACUAGAGUUAUAUAUGAGUAGGGGAGUAUUUAUGGAGUAGAGUUGAAAUUCUGUAAUACCAUGAAGACUGAUAACGGCGAAAGCAACCUUUUAUUUAAUAACUGACGUUGAGGGACGAAGGCUCGGGUAGCGAACAGGAUUAGAUACCCUAGUAGUCCAAGCAGAAAAUUAUGAAUGCCAUAGAUUAGAUUUAAGAAAACCUUUUUUUGCGAGAACUUGAAGUACUUUAAGUUAUCUAAAGUUCUCUAAUUCUACUACUUACGUAUAUAACAUAAAAGCAUAUAUACUUUAAAAGAGUACUAGAGUAAGGGUUAUAAAACCCCGCAAGAAAAAAUAAGUUAUAUAUUUAUUGUAAUAUAUAACUUUAUAUAUUUAGUUUAUAAAUGAAAGUGUAAGCAUUUCACCUCAAGAGUAAUGUGGCAACGCAGGAACUGAAAUCAUUAGACCGUUUCUGAAACCAGUAGUGAAGUAUGUUAUUUAAUUCGUAGUUACGCGAAAAACCUUACCACAAUUUGAAUAUUAUUUUUUUAUAUUUUUAAAAGAUAUUACAAGCGUUGCACGGCUGUCUGCAGUUAAUGUCGUGAGAUAUUGGUUAAUUCCAUUAAAUUAACGGAAACCCUUGCUUUAUUUGUAUUUUUAUGGAAUAAAGCAGCACACCUUUAUAUUGGUUAUGUUAAUAGGACCAAGACA